UUCGUAUAGGAGACUUGGGAGUGCUCUCCUGUAGGAUCCAAGACUUCUCAUCUUUCCGAUGCGAACUGAAUUAUGCUAGCAUGUCAACCAGGACAUUUCAGAGAAGCAUCGGUGAGCAUAUCUCCUUGUACACAGAGGGAAAAUUCUGAAGUUGCUUAAAUGUGUUGGAAUAAUUUGUUCUCUCUCUAGUAAAGAUUCUGCCAUUUUCUAAAACGCCACAACAGACAAACACAUAUCAAAAUCUUCUCUAGUACUCCUAGAAGAAAAAUCUUGUGAGAAAAUUGUUAGAGAAGCAGAAAUUCUGUUUGUCUCCAUUGAAUUUCACUUUCCAAUGGAGGAGUCUGGGAAAAUAUAAACGAGAAUAUGGUUUUCGGUGUAUUUGGGUGGGAUUUUGAUUGUGCUGUAGUUUUGGGGAACAGAAAGUCUUUAUUGAACUUCACUGAGAUCUGUAGUGCUUCUAGCAUUUCAUAUUCCUGGGAUAGCAUCUGACACAUUUUAUUUUAUUUUGCAGAACAGAAACGUGUUAGUAAACCUCUUACCAGAACACCCUCACUAUCGAUUUUUUUUUGUCACUAAAACACAAACCAGCAUGGGACAUUAAACAGGACCUUUGGUAUUUGGUGUUGGGAAAAUGCCCCCUUGGAUCUAGAGCUCUUUAGGAGUAAUGGCUUCCCGAAAAGAACUAUAGAGAAAAAGAAGGCAGAAUAACCCAGGUGCCUGAGCAUCUUUGAGGAGGUAAGGAAAACUCUUUACUCUUUGCUGUUUGUGAGCUCUGAAUCACCAAUUG
rnacentral:lncRNA from 1 species